rnacentral:rRNA from 1 species
CUACGUGCCAGCAGCCGCGGUAAUACGUAUGUCACAAGCGUUAUCCGGAUUUAUUGGGCGUAAAGCGCGUCUAGGUGGUUAUGUAAGUCUGAUGUGAAAAUGCAGGGCUCAACUCUGUAUUGCGUUGGAAACUGCAUGACUAGAGUACUGGAGAGGUAAGCGGAACUACAAGUGUAGAGGUGAAAUUCGUAGAUAUUUGUAGGAAUGCCGAUGGGGAAGCCAGCUUACUGGACAGAUACUGACGCUAAAGCGCGAAAGCGUGGGUAGCAAACAGGAUUAGAUACCCUGGUAGUCCACGCCGUAAACGAUGAUUACUAGGUGUUGGGGGUCGAACCUCAGCGCCCAAGCUAACGCGAUAAGUAAUCCGCCUGGGGAGUACGGCCGCAAGGUUAAAACUCAAAUGAAUUGACGGGGGCCCGCACAAGCGGUGGAGCAUGUGGUUUAAUUCGAUGCAACGCGAAGAACCUUACCUACUCUUGACAUCCAGAGAACAUUC